AGAUGCGUUCAGAUGCAGAAUCAAGUGCACUUUCUCUGCAGUAAAGGAGGUUUCUGUCAGAUAUAGAAUACCGGGUAAAGCCCAGCAGGGAGGCUGAAUAUUAUAUUUUUGUUAUUUUUAAGGUAAUAUUCCAUUAAUUCUUCAGUGGUAGUGCAUUCAGCUAAUGGAUAGGUUUUGCGUAUAUGGGUAUUAAUGACACCAUUGAUGAUACAUUGAGAUAUUGAAACAUUAAGUCUUGGUAGUGUGUGUGAUGUGUACUUGUACUACUCAGACAUGGACAGAGGAAGACUGAGGAAGCUUCACACCUGCUGAAAGCAAACUUGGAGCCUCUCUCGAGGGAGUCGCGCGUCAUGAGGGACCUCUGCAGUGCUGUGUGCUGGAUUUGCAAGAAUCACUCUCCAGUGGAGAGGUGACCGAACCUGCUGUUCUCCAGAUUGAGGCUGAGGAUCAGCAGAAAGCACCCAGGGAGGUCCUGGAGGGUCAAAGUGGCAACAGGAAUGACCCAUUCAUGUUUAUUUUUAAUAAUAGGGAGGGCAUGGAAACCUUACUCUCUAAUUGCGUUGAUGGGAUGGGUCUUAAAAUUCAUGCCAUGUUUACAUAAUACAAAUUUUUCCUCAUUUUAUUCCGUUCCAUAUACUGUUUUUUGUUUUUUUUUGCACGUUUGUUCAAAUUUAUACAUCAAUACACUACAAAUAAAAUGUGUGCCAAAUUA